CAUCCCGGCGCCGCCCUGCAGCCAACCUCCUGCCGCGCGUCCUGGGGCAGGUUGGACGGUGAGGCCGAGGUCAAUGGAAGACUGGGUGAUGGAGUCCGUAUUCCACAGCUGGAGAAUCCUUUCAGAAAAUCCCAGCAAGGAACCUGGACUCUGAGGGCAAAGCAGCGCCAAGCAUGGAACAGAGAAUUAGGAGGAGUCUGGUCCCUGACAGUGUCAAGGACCUUGGGUUGGCUAACCCUGGAGUGUUGCCUCCACAAUUAUUACACAAGAGAAAUAAGCCCCUUGUUUUAUCCACUGUGGUCAGGGUUCUGGUUCAUGCAUUUGAAGCACUGGUGUAUAUUACCUAAUUUCCUUAGAGCAGGGCCGCUUGCCUCAGGGGCCCUGGUUCUAAGCAAGAGCGGCUCAGUUGACCCAGGAAGUCCCUGAACUUAGGGUUUGAGGAAAGGAUCCCAUUAACAAAAAGAAAGAAAGAAAACAGAAAUUCUUCUCUUAACCCCCGAGUUACUUUCAGUGAUCACUGUGACAUGAAAGGCAAGAAGAUAUUUAUUUGUUUGGUUCUCCACUUCAGAAAGAAACAUAUGAGAAAAUCUUCAGUCUUGGGUUAGGUAUAGAGUUCUUAGACUGAUUUGUUACAAAAAGCACAUUUGUAAGAGUAAAAAUCAUAACUUGAAUUUCAUCAAAAUUUAAACUUUGUUCUGCAGAAGUCCCUGGGGGAGAGGAUGAAAGAAGAAAUUACAGAGUGGGAGAAAAUACUUGCAAGCCAUGUGUCUGUCAAAGGACUAGUACUUGAAAUAGAAAAGACUCGAAACUCAACAGUAAAAACAAUUCAGUUAGAAAAUGGGUAUAAGACAUGAGGAGACAGUUCCUUGAAGAAGACAUACAGAUGACAAAUAAACACCUGAAAAUAUGUUCAACAUCAUUAGUCAUUAGGGAAAGUAACUUAAAACCACAGAUAUCACUACAGAACCAUCUGAUUGGCUAAAUAAAAAACAGUGACACCACCACCAAAGGCUGGCAAGAACAUGGAGAGACUGGAUCCCUCACACAUUGCUGGUGGGAAUGUCAAGUGGCACAAUAACUGGAGAAUAUUCUGAUGGUUUCUUAAGAAAGAGAAACACACGAUUACCCUACAACCUGGCAACUGUGCUCUUGGGCAUUUAGCCCAGAGAAAUCAAAUAUUACAUUCACAUAAGAACCUGCACAGGAGUGAAUAAAACAGCUUUUU